GACGAACGCUGGCGGCGUGCUUAACACAUGCAAGUCGAACGGAAAGGCCCUGCUUUUGUGGGGUGCUCGAGUGGCGAACGGGUGAGUAACACGGGAGUAACCUGCCCUUGACUUUGGGAUAACUUCAGGAAACUGGGGCUAAUACCGGAUAGGAGCUCCUGCUGCAUGGUGGGGGUUGGAAAGUUUCGGCGGUUGGGGAUGGACUCGCGGCUUAUCAGCUUGUUGGUGGGGUAGUGGCUUACCAAGGCUUUGACGGGUAGCCGGCCUGAGAGGGUGACCGGCCACAUUGGGACUGAGAUACGGCCCAGACUCCUACGGGAGGCAGCAGUGGGGAAUAUUGCACAAUGGGCGGAAGCCUGAUGCAGCAACGCCGCGUGCGGGAUGACGGCCUUCGGGUUGUAAACCGCUUUCGCCUGUGACGAAGCGUGAGUGACGGUAAUGGGUAAAGAAGCACCGGCUAACUAUGUG
rnacentral:rRNA from 1 species